AACUUAGUCACGCGCAAGCAACCUGCUUCGGCACUAAACAUGCCAAAUGCUAGACAUGCCUAGUAAGUCAACUAGCGAAGCCUCUAAAAUCGUGCAAGUAUUUGUCCUUGUGUGGAUUCAUUCAAACCUUAAUUUGUGUUCUUAUCACAAAGGUAUUUUCACCUUUGUAUGAUGAAUUUUGAUCCAUUCAAACUCGUAGCCUUUGAAUCCGUGUAAACUAACAAAUGUGAAAUCCGAUCUUAUGUCAGUGGCGAUGGUCAAAGUUGAUUUAGUUCGAUAAUAAUUGAAAACAGAUUAUUAAAUUUAGUUCGACAAAAGGGUCUUAUCGGGGUUUAACGUUAAUAGGUUGCACAUAUUAACAAUUUUUUAGUUUUUAAGUCUUUUUUUCUAGCUCAAAAUUAACUGAUUUAACUCCAAUUUUUUUUAAAAAAGAUUAAACUUCAAAUUUGGUACUAUUACUUUUCAAAUUUACUUUUAAAUGAUAACUAUUUUCAUUAAUACUUUUAAGUUUAUUAUGAAAAAACAAAAUUAACUUUCAUAAAUUAUUUAUAAAUGUUUAAGAAUUAUAUAUAAAAAUUUAUAAACCUAAUCUCACCCUCUAAAUAUGAAACCUUAUAUAAAUAAUUACUAAAUCUUAAACCGAAAUGUUAGAAUAUUUUCUGUUGAAUGUAUUUUUUGAAAUAUAUUACCAAACUUAGUGUAUUUUAUUUUUAACCAAUUUCUCACAAAUUAAGUGAUUAUGAAUGAACUGAUUCAUGACUUUUAUAUAUUAUUCUAGUUCCAUCAAAUCUCUGAUAUAUCCUUUCGAAAUAAUAAAUUUUCUGCUCUACUUUUUUUUGACUCAACAAUUACAAUUUCAUUUAACUAAUGCAUUGGUACAAAUAUUUUAGACCUCAAAAGAGACUCUACCGCAUAAACAAUAAUGCAGUCUAGCAACACCGUGGAACACUCAUUUGGAUCCAGCGCAACCUGACUUACAUCAUUGCGUUUUCAACCACAAUGGGAUGAAACAGCUCCACGUCACGAAGCAAUUCAUCUCUUAUACCUCUAAAUUCUACCACUACUAAACAAGAUAUAAAGUUGUUUCUUCACCUUCGGUUUAUCAUAACAAAAGAAUUCCAAUUACAGCUCAUAGCAAUUGAUACCAAAAGAUAGGAGUGAAAAUACUUGACCAACUGCAUCACCACCACAAUGGUGCUUAUUCUCAGUCCAGAUAAUCCGAGAGUGAAGGAAAACAUAUGCAUUGCAUCUUGGGGUGAAUGGCAAUCUUCAUAGCGACAAUCUGUAACCAAUGCUUCCAGACUCCGCUUGAUCAGCCAACCACCAAAAGGCGGGUUGAGAUUUUGGCACCAGCCACGUUCGAGCUUGUAUCCCGCCACACCGAAGACGAGGAAAAUCUACCGAGUCUGGCUAUCAUCUAACUGCGAAUGAUCUGCCUCAAAACGCAAAAACUAUCGAGUCUGGCUAUCAUCUAACCUUUCGAGACCACAAGCACUUCCAUUGACCAAGCGAAAGCCUUGAGUCUCUUCACGCCCUAUCUCUGAGAACCAGAGAAACAACCUCUUCUGCAUGAAGCUAUCUCGCCGCUGUUGAAACUCCGUUUAUCCGACUAGAGCUUCUUCCUUCUAGCCUCCUGAUGAACCAUAAAUGAUCCUUCCUGGUUGCGAUAAGCAAGGAAACAAGCGCCUCCAGAGCCAUCGAGUCAACACACGUUCACCGUUUUGUCACGAGACACUCCUCUGAAAGUAUUAAUGUUCAAAGUCUACUUAGGCUAGAAAAUGACAGAAGCACCACCAUAGCUCGGACCUGCUCCACAGACCACAGCUCAUGUCUCUCUUCUUCGAAUAUGAGCAACAAGCCAACCCUUCAGUCCAACUUCCAGAUCUUCAAGAACAUGGAAAAAUAACGGAGCCACGCACCGCCACAUCGAUUUUAGGAGUUAACUCUCAAAGGUAAGACGGGCAUCAGACUCAUCCAACAAAACCCUAUACGCCGACUCUUCCCAGAAACUAUCUCUUCCCACGACUCGCCGCCGUUCGAAAUAUCCGUCGUCAACAUGUCUAGCCACACUCCGCCGCGGUCAGAGCAGAACUAAGAGCUUCAAUCGGAUCUCAGAAGAAUUUGAGGAGAGCAAAAGAAAACAAGGAGAGGGAGUAGAGAAACCUCUGGCGGCGGGAAAGUUUCCAACCGUCGGGGACGCCGUGCUAGGGUUAGGGUUGUUCGAAGGAGAAGGUUUAAGUUUCGAUCCACAGAGAAUGCACAAUUAUGCGAAUUAAUGGAGAAAAUGCUUACAAAAAGUCUGCAACGUGGAUCCUAUAGGACGGUUCAGGUGAUUCAGUUAAGCGUACAUCCUCAUAAAGCAUGUAAAAUUAUCAGUUAUAGAAUCAUUUACAAUAUUUCUCGUAUAGUUCGUAAUAACAUAAUUAUCAGCGUUAAAAAAACAAUUAAUAACUAGACAUUUGAAGCCUCACGGUGAAGUUGGACAUAUGUAGUCCAUUAAAAGAAAAUUUUAUAUAUAUGUAUUGAUUUUUUUCAUUAUAUAUAUACGAUGUUAUGUUAAGUUUCACAGAUUUUUAAUUAAAACAAAAAUCACAUAAAAUUAACUUUUAUAUGACAUGUUAUUUACGAAAUAUACCACCACUACAAAAAAAAAAUGAUUGAAUUGUAUCACUUAAAAUGUAUCAGUUAUGUAAAUGAUCUUAUAUUAAAUUACUUAUUUAGAAAUGACAUAAAUAUAUAAAAUUCAAAAUCAGUUUGUAUAAGUGAUAUUAAUAUUAACUAAUUUAACAUCAGUUCAAUAAAUUGGUAUAAUUUUUAUUAAAUUGUAUAAUUUUAAAAUAAGUGAUGUUAUUAUAUAAAGUUACAUCAUUUAGAUAAUUGAUACAUAUAUUUUAUUGGUUAACAUCAUUUAUUACAAUGAUUCAAGAUUUACAUCAGUAAUAAACUGAUACUAACAAAAAUUAGGUUACUAUAUAUAAUUUUAGAUUUUUUUAACAAAAUUUGCAUCACUUAAAAGAUUUAUUUUCAUAUAAAAUUUAGUGUUUUUAAAUUACGAGAUGUGGUUACUAUUUUCAUGGCUUUAGUUAGUUUUCAACUUUAAUUUAUUUUCCCCCAUGUUCUUCUUAACUGUUUCACCAUAAGAACUAAGAAGGCAUAUUAUUUUCGAUCUGUCAUUCAUUUUUUUUUUUUUUUGACUGAGAUCUGUCAUUCAUUCCUCCGUCCUUCUUAUCUAUCUCUUAAAACUUUUUUUAUCAUCUUAAACAAUAAAUUCUAGGUUAUUUGAUUUAUAAAAAUCAACAAGAAUCAACCAUCUUUUUUUAGAUGUUUAUUAUGAGUCAUGAUUCUAUUCGUCUUAUGAAUGAUUUUAAAGAAAAACUGGAGUCUCCUAACCUGACUUUGAAAAGGUAAUAUUUUUCUUUUGUUCCUCUUCUAGUUCUCGUUUUCUUUUUUCCUUUUGAAAAUAACAAUUUUUGUAUCUUUAUGGGAUGCAUUUUUGUUAGAAUUCACUAUCAUCAGUGGCAAAAAUGAAGAAUCUCUUGCAAAUCCAGAGGAAUAGAAGUCUCCGUGAAGAGUUUUUGAUGGAUAGUUUACUGAUUCAAUUCAGUGUCACCUUAUCAAGGAAGGUUGAAGAUCAAAAUAAAGAAGAUUUUUUUUUUAAUUAUUCAGUAAUCGUUCUUCUUUCUGAAUACAUCAUCUUCUUCUUUUAGCAUUUUCAUCUAUGCUCUGUAUAUUCUUUUAGUUGAUUUCCUUGUUCUUUGUAUUAUAUUGUCAAUGAAAAAUAAAAAUAAAAAUAGUUUAACA